UUCAUUUAUUAAUAUAUAUAAUAUAAUUCUGAUAGUUACCUAACACAUCUGACAACUUUUUUUUUUCAAUGUAUAUCCAUAUACUGUACCAAAUGUCAACACAAAUUUAAUUGACAAGUACUGACCAUUCUCUAUAACCUAUAACAGAUAUACCACAUAAUACAAGCCUUGCUAUUUUUGUUUCUUUCUUGGUUUGAUGUUUUUUCAUAACAAUUUAGUCACUAUUAAAAUGACUUACAUUACAUGUAAAAUGAAACCAAAUAAUACAAGAGUUUAUAAACAAGGAGGAAAGGAUGAAAGUCUCACCAAAUAUAAUCAUUUACAAGCUUACAAUGUGGUGUAGCAACAUUUGUUAAUCUAUGCUAGCACCAAAAUAUUGAUCGAAAUAUAUUUAACGACCGUCAUUGAUAUUGCAGAGGUGAAAAACUGUUAUUGAAGAAAGAAAUUCUACCCAUCAAAAUCUCUGAAAAAAUCCAUUAUGCUGUAGAAUAUUUAGAGCCCAGGUUAGAUUUACUUCAUAGUCAAUUCCUUUCUUUUUCAAAGAAAAUAAUUUUAGAAUGAUAAUUCUUUCCAAAAUAUGAUUCAUAUAUUGAAAAGAAAGUCUAACUGAUCUUUAUAACCAGUCGUAGUUAGGCUAAUAUAUAUAUAUUCUUAAUAAUUUUUAUCAAGGAUUCAGCGAGUGUCUCUAAAAGUUGUGAAUCUAGAUGAAACCAAGUCAAAUAUGUUUCCAAUCACAAUUUUAUAAAGACCUUGGCAAUCAAAAUUGUUUUUGCAUUAAUCAUUACACAAGAGAGAAUGAAGGAAAAUAAAUAUGGGGAUGCUAUCACAUGUCAAUAUUUAGAAUAUGUAGUUUACAGAAUUUACUUAAACUAAAAUGAAAAUGCACUACAUAGUAAAUACAGUACCACAUCAUAAUAUACAUUUAAAUGUAUUUCAUUUUUUUCAUUCUGUUCACCCUACAAGCUGGCAAACAAUAUACGUAAACAUUUAUAUUGGAUUACAUCUUACAUAAAAUUGCACAUGUGAGUUAAAAAAUGAAGAUUGAAAAAUCAAACCAAAUUAAAUAUCUGCUAAUUAUCUUUGAAGCUAGGCAAUAAUAAUAUUUCAUCACUUUGGACAGUCAAAUACAUUAACUCAUUAUGAAAGGUGAAAUCAUUCAUGUAAUUAUAGUCAACAAAAUCUAAAUAAUUGGAUCAGUAGGUAGUUCCUAACUUUGUUUGAAACAAUGGGAUCACUAGCUGACUAUUGUACGAACUAAGGAGGCAAUUAGAUAUUAUUGUAUAUGAUUAUUUGGAGUAUAACAAUGAAUAAAGUGUGGGGGGGCUAUGGACACAUUUAUCAACUAUGAAACUACACAAGUAUUGACUAACAUCCAAUACAGUGUUGAAAUACAGUUGAAUAGAAAAUACAGGGAACAGAUCAAUGUAAAAACUGAAUAUUUCUUCUGUCAUGAUAUGCCUACUUCAGUAUUCUACAUGUUUUUGUUAUCAGUCAAUACCCUUCAGAUAAAUACCAAGAAAUACAAUGAACAUAAAAUAUAUAUAGCAUACACUUUAAUCAUUUCAUCUUUCUCUCUUUUUUAUUAAUCUAUCCACUAUAAAACUAACAUGAUUGCUUAUUUUUAUACUCAAUGGAUAUCUUUGAUAUGCAAUGAACAUAACAAAAACUCUUCAUCAUAUUGCGUGUGAGUGACAGUGAAAAUGGCAUUUUCUGAUACCGGUAAAUGUUUGCAUGACAUGAGAGUCACUUAUGAAAUCUAAAUCAUAUGGGAUAUUCCCAUAUGCAGGGUGUUUCACAAAACUAAUUCAUUUUCUUCUGUUAUAUGAUCGGUGUAUCAUCAAAAUUCUAAAAGUUGUUUGGUGAUACAGUUUUCUUGACUAUGAUAUAACAUAGAUCAGAACAACAGACAAUAUGAAAAGCAUAACAGUAAGCAUAGUUCUCUUAUUUCGGCA